rnacentral:rRNA from 1 species
ACGGGAGGCAGCAGUGGGGAAUAUUGGGCAAUGGGGGGAACCCUGACCCAGCAACGCCGCGUGAGGGAAGAAGGUUUUCGGAUCGUAAACCUCUGUCCUCGGGGAAGAGUGAGAGACGGUACCCGGGGAGGAAGCCCCGGCUAACUACGUGCCAGCAGCCGCGGUAAUACGUAGGGGGCGAGCGUUGUCCGGAAUGAUUGGGCGUAAAGGGCGCGUAGGCGGUUUCUUAAGUCUGGAGUGAAAGUCCCGGCUUUAAGUUGGGAAUGGCUUUGGAUACUGGGGGGCUAGAGUGCAGGAGAGGUAAGUGGAAUUCCCAGUGUAGCGGUGAAAUGCGUAGAGAUUGGGAGGAACACCAGUGGCGAAGGCGACUUACUGGACUGUAACUGACGCUGAGGCGCGAAAGUGUGGGGAGCAAACAGGAUUAGAUACCCUGGUA